CGAUUUGGCAUAGUCAAACCUUUAUUUGGGGCUCCUAGAAUAGGAUUAUGGAAUGUUAAUGCCGCAACAGAUAAUUUUUUCCAUCCUUCAUCAUAUUAGCUCCAUCUAGUUCAGCUCAUGAUACUCAAAAGGGUCAUUUCUGGAGAGUCGCCUUCAACUUCCAAAAAUUUGUUGCAGCAUGAUGCAGACUUUGCAGACCCUGCUUCUUUUGUUUUCCAGGGUUCUAAAGCUAAGACAAAGAAGGUUAUUUGUGCAUAAGAGAGAGCAAAAACAGAAGAGAAAGAA